rnacentral:lncRNA from 1 species
AAAACUACAACUAUCCAUCCAUGAGAAGGAAGAUACCUAAUGGAUUAGUUAAUUGGUGCAUGUUUUAGAGACAUACGAGGUGUAUAUGUUGCAACUAGUAAGGUUUCGAUGGAAAUCAAAGAAAGAAAUAGAAAGUUGAAUGAAAAUCAAAGAAAGAAAUAGAAAGUUGAAUGAAAAUUAUUAUGACGUAAACAUAUUAAGCUGCAGGGCUAUAUUGAUUAAGCAAAUAUAAUAGUCAUAUGGU